CAUACAUAAGCCAAAUGUUCCCCAUCCAUCCGGCUCCAGAGCAUGGUACCCAUGCUCCCCCUUUCAUCACCUUGCUGUUAGUGAUGCAAAGAAUCCAACGGAGAUCUCUGAGGCUCUGGGAGAUGGUAGGGCCACACCAUGAAGGUGCCUGGGCCCCUGAAUGACUGCAUGGAGCACAGUGCUCACUCCACAUUGGACUGUGACACAAGCAAGAAAGACCCCAGGCUCCAGAAGCAGACAAGACGACAAACAGAAGAGCAGAAG